rnacentral:rRNA from 1 species
UGGGGAAUAUUGCACAAUGGGCGCAAGCCUGAUGCAGCCAUGCCGCGUGUGUGAAGAAGGCCUUCGGGUUGUAAAGCACUUUCAGCGAGGAGGAAGGUGGUGAGCUUAAUACGCUCAUCAAUUGACGUUACUCGCAGAAGAAGCACCGGCUAACUCCGUGCCAGCAGCCGCGGUAAUACGGAGGGUGCAAGCGUUAAUCGGAAUUACUGGGCGUAAAGCGCACGCAGGCGGUUUGUUAAGUCAGAUGUGAAAUCCCCGGGCUCAACCUGGGAACUGCAUUUGAAACUGGCAAGCUAGAGUCUCGUAGAGGGGGGUAGAAUUCCAGGUGUAGCGGUGAAAUGCGUAGAGAUCUGGAGGAAUACCGGUGGCGAAGGCGGCCCCCUGGACGAAGACUGACGCUCAGGUGCGAAAGCGUGGGGCAGCAAACAGGAUUAGAUACCCUGGUAGUCCACGCUGUAAAACGAUGUCGAUUUUGGAGGUUGUGCCCUUGAGGCGUGGCUUCCGGAGCUAACGCGUUAAAUCGACCGCCUGGGGAGUACGGCCGCAAGGUUAAAACUCAAAUGAAUUG